AUUAUUUUAUGAUUCGAGUUCAACAGCCUAACCCGGAAUUACUUAUUCGAGGAAAGUGCCUUGAUGUGAAAGAGAGUAAAUGCAAAAUGUGAACCUUUGGCGGUGGCCUCUCGAUUACGAGAUCAUCUGCUCUCAUCCAGAACGACCCUGUUUUAUGGAAAAAGGUUGAGGAGUAGAUCGGCAUCCCAAGCUAGUAAAGGAUGAAUCAAAAGUGCUGUGGGAAUGGGCAAGGUACAAAAGCUGUGUUAUUUCCUUUCUCAUGCAAACUGCGUCCUAAUUGCCUUCUUUUCAUUGCUACCAACAAUGGGGUAUGCAGAGUACAAUUCCAAACAAAAUAUCUUUUGAGAAAACGGGCUUUUGGGUAACAAAAGACCCUGUGAAAUUAAAAUGGGACAGAUAAAUUAUAAUAGGAUUCCCUGAUGUGAGCAAACUCAAGUUACCAAAACUCUGCAUUGUGGAACCAAUGGAAUGAUUUACAUUAAAAUCAAUCCAGAAGGCCUUGUCAUGUUUACAUAGCAGUGGCCAAAAAAACAUGGGUUACGAAAUUAAUGAAGGGAUCUUUAAAUUCUUUCUGAAGUGGCACCUUACCAGAGCUUGCAGCUGUGUAGUUUGCAGUGUAUCUUGCUUUCUGCACCAGCAUGCCAUGUGUUUUCUCUUUGUUCCGUGGUUGAAUGUUCGUUGAGCUAAGGGAGAACGAGAAAAAAAGGCAGAGUCGAGCAGAUUAAAGUCCAAUGAUGGCAUAAGAGAAAAUUUUAUAAAGAACGCCAUGAGUUGGAGCCUGGUGAGCUCGUAAUUUGAUGAUCUUUGUUUCACAAUUGCACUUCAUCCAGUGACUUGUUGAACUUGGCCUGUUCCCUUCCUCAAGUUGCAACUUUCUUGGAUUUCAUUUCAAAACACUUGAUCUGGGCUGCCAGGUCCUCACUUAUGAGCCAAAACGAUCAAAUCCUGGCUAACGUUUGGGAAGUUCUCCUAGCUCGUGCGUUGAAUCAAACUUGUAUAAGAUGUUUGAUGGAUGGAAACACUAUAAGAAUAUUGUCAUUACCAACAGCAAGAUCAGUUGCAAAUUA